UUCCAUUAGCAUUUUAAAAUGAAUUCAGCAGCCGCACGUUAUUCCAAUCUCCCACUUAGUUUUCCACUCUGGUUUUAAUAUACUUUCUUCAGCAUGAUUGUCCUUCUCUGUGUUUAAACAAGCGAGUCAAGCCUGUCUCCACUCAGACAGCUACAGCCAUAAUACAGUUCAUCUCUACUUUGUGGACAUAAUGGCGCACUUCUCUCACUAUUCUUUUUAAUCUUUCUUUACUCCUUCUUUCUUCUCCUUUUAAAACCGACAGAGAGAGAGACCAUCAGAGAAAGAAACUCGGACCCUUUCCUUCUCCCUAUCUCCUUUCCUUUCAAUUCUUCUUCUAGAAACAGAAUGUGAGAUAAGAGAAAAGAGAAACUAAUAGUGAGAAGGGAGAGUAAGACUAAGAGAGGGAGAGAUGUGAGACAGCAAGAGAUUGAGAGAAAGGUGAGAUGCUGAGAGAUAGAGAAAGGGAGAGACCCGAGAGACCCAUAGCCAAGAACCCAGACCAACCAUGCAAUCUUGACCCAACCCGUGUCCUCCAACUGUGAGCCAGCCCCGAACUGAAACCAUGAGACCCAGCUGCCCAGCAUGAAGCCCAACCCUCGGCAGACCACAACAACCCCUGCAGCCGUGACCAUCGAGCACGAACCUGCCGAACCCAGCGUGACCCGAAACCCACUAAACCGUGCGUGACCCCGAACCCCUCCGGCAGAAACAGACCCAGAAAUGGUGCGAACUAGAUUGAUCCAUGGACUGGAACCCAGCAGCUUAGAAACCGAUCAGGAGCUCGAACCGUCGAUGCCGAGAAGCUUGUAGUCCCAGAAACCAUGACCCAUCAACACUGCCGAACCUGUAGCCAUGCGGUCUUGACCCCCAGCCAGCACGAACCCAAUCAAGAACGUACAUGAACCCAUACAUCCGAACCUUAGCGAGUGUAACCGACCCAGCCCCAUCUCAGCAACCUGAACCAGUAGAAAACCGAGAACCAUGCACCAUGCAAACCAGACUUCGGCAAGCACGAACUCGGGACCAGAAGCAACAACCCAUUCCAGCCCAGCUGACCACCGAGACUCAGCAACGUGUGACCCAGAAACCCAUACCGGUAGGCCAUGAUCGGCCCUCACCAACUCGUGAACCAGCUUGGCCGAAGAUCACCAAACCAACCGGAACCACCUGUUGUGCAACCCUGUGAACCUAGAGAAAGAGAGAGAGAGAGAGAGAGAGUAAGCAGAGAAGAGUGUCGGUGGAUAGAAUGAAUAGAGAGAAGGAGCAGGUGUGGGCUGAAUAGAAUGACCCGUGGACCCAUACAACCCAUGACCCGAGCCCGGUCCAGCCUGCCUCAAUAGCCCAAAACCGAUCCAUAAGCCUGAACUAUGGACUCGGCCCAUCAGAUCAGUAACUCAGUCCAGCAGUCCAAGCCCAAUAGCAACUCAUCACCGGAACCCGCGAACUCGAAACCCAUAGUGACUCCGAAAUUGAUCCUCGGACGGGCCAGACACUUGGGACCGGGCGUAGAAUUGGGCGACUGUUUGAGCUUUCCUCCUUACACCUUUCCAUCCCUGGUGUCUCUGUUGCUGCCGCUUCAUCGCCACCAUCUCUUGCUCUUUGGCAUUCGCGUCUUGGUCAUGCAUCUGUGUCUCGGGUACAGGUUUUGGCUUC